CACUCCUGCGGGAGGCAGCAGUGGGGAAUAUUGCACAAUGGGCGCAAGCCUGAUGCAGCCAUGCCGCGUGUAUGAAGAAGGCCUUCGGGUUGUAAAGUACUUUCAGCGGGGAGGAAGGCAAUACGGUUAAUAACCGUGUUGAUUGACGUUACCCGCAGAAGAAGCACCGGCUAACUCCGUGCCAGCAGCCGCGGUAAUACGGAGGGUGCAAGCGUUAAUCGGAAUUACUGGGCGUAAAGCGCACGCAGGCGGUCUGUCAAGUCGGAUGUGAAAUCCCCGGGCUCAACCUGGGAACUGCAUUCGAAACUGGCAGGCUUGAGUCUUGUAGAGGGGGGUAGAAUUCCAGGUGUAGCGGUGAAAUGCGUAGAGAUCUGGAGGAAUACCGGUGGCGAAGGCGGCCCCCUGGACAAAGACUGACGCUCAGGUGCGAAAGCGUGGGGAGCAAACAGGAUUAGAAACCCGGGUAGUCCCAUGAU
rnacentral:rRNA from 1 species